GACACAGACGGUCUCUCUGAGGGUGUCGCUAACUCUGUACGGAUGGUCUGUAUCCGCUCUACGAAGAAGCGGUUCGGCUCACGAGCUGCCGUCAUGACGUUGAUAUCUGCGGGAGUGUGUUAAUUGCGCAGUUGGCCAUUUUCAUAUCUGAAGAAUGGGAAUUGGAUAGGUUCACUACAGUGUUUGCUCUAACAGGAAUUGAAUGCUCAUUGUCUGUCAUUUUUCUUUGGAUCCAAGAGCCCAUUGUUGUAAUGGAAGAUGGCUAAAUAGAGCUGACCUGACUUCAAUCACAAAUUGGCUUUUGUCAGUGCUGAAGGUAGAGAUGUUGACCAUCCUGAAUGCUUGGGUAUACACACGGAUGAUUAAUUUUCAGCAAUUGGCAUUGAAGAAACAUGACAGUAUUUUGUCAAAGAUUCUGCUGAAAGUGUGCAAAUGAAGAGCUAUUGAAAAUACUAUUCGUUCAGACUGAAACACCUAUUGAUCAUUUUCUUGUGGAUAUUCUGAUAUGCAAUUGAAGUCCGCUGUUCUCGUAUAUUGAGGUUUCUGCCAUUGUUGACUAUCAGUCUGCAUUAUGCAAAUGUUUUGAUUAGUUGGUGUUAGCUUAAAUUGUAUGGUUUUUUCCCCAUUUUACAUGUUAAAAUUGUUUUGUUACUUGUUGUAAUUUUUCAGUUACUGCUGUACACUAGUUGAUUUACUGAAGACUUGUGAACAAAUGGAUAAAACGGCACUUUGUAAAUUGUUCUCGUACCAAACAUUUGUAAGAACGUGAUGUUAGUACCUUUAUUUUCCCAGUUCUAAAUCUGUUGUUCCUUUGCUGUUCUCAUGCCAUGUCUCAUUAUGCCCAGAAUGUAACAUGUUGCAGUCCUGCAUUCCACUCAAUUUCUUACAUGCUGCAUUCCAGCCUGAACCUGUAACUUUGAAAGUGAGCACGUACUUAAUAAAUAUGCCAGCCAAUUGUCA